UACGUAGGGGGCAAGCGUUGUCCGGAUUUACUGGGUGUAAAGGGAGCGCAGACGGCAGUGCAAGUCUGGAGUGAAAGCCCGGGGCCCAACCCCGGAACUGCUCUGGAAACUGUGCGGCUAGAGUACUGGAGGGGCAGGCGGAAUUCCUAGUGUAGCGGUGAAAUGCGUAGAUAUUAGGAGGAACACCAGUGGCGAAGGCGGCCUGCUGGACAGUAACUGACGUUGAGGCUCGAAAGCGUGGGGAGCAAACAGG
rnacentral:rRNA from 1 species